UGCUUCAGGGCCCGCAUUCACCUGAUACUCCACAGCCCAACUAGUACCACAUCUCAGCUAAUCUUGGAGAUCCAACAGCUGAUGGGAGCUAUGCCUCCAGGUGAUUCUCAGGCGCUCCAGGUCUACUGUUUAGCACGAACCCAGGUAUGCAUUCAGAUCCCCCCUAAAUAAAGAAACAUUCGAACAAGCUAAGAUCGUUUCAGAGAGCUGCUUCAUUAAAGAUCAUCAGAGAAGACCUCCAUCUGGAUUCUGCUUCACUCCCUCCUGGCCUGGCAGGCAGCUGCGUCUGGCACCCUGAAGGGAAAAGGUGUUGUACAUCCCUGGAGAGCUGUGGUGUUGGAGGAGACUGGAAAAACUGCAAAAGAAUCAGAAAAAAUAAUUCAACUUGCUGUUAAUGUCGUGUCUCUGGAGUGACGAUAAUGUCUCCACCGGGGCCUUCAUCGGAGGACCUGCAGCCUGAAAACAGGCCCCGAGUCAGCCUUUCCGGCGACCCUGUUAGCACCUAGAAGGGCUCAUGACAUCUCCCCACGGUCUCCUUGCUACUCUCUACCCAGACACUGCAGAGCCUUCCUCCAGCUCUCCCGCCGCAAGUUGGAUGUUUCAUUGGCAGCAUCACACCCCACCACAAAACAUCAAAUAGCCCCAUGAUAUUCGCAGUAAAGGCAGAGUCCCUUUCUGCAGGUCCCAGCCUGUUUCUCUGAACUCACCAGGAACUUUCUCUGUUGUUACACAAAUAUUUGGCUUCUUCCCAUGUUCUGUCAGGCACCCCAUCUCCUGCUCUACACUGCCUCUGGUCCACAGCCACUCUCAGCUGUUCCGCUUUCUCCUCCGGCUGACACUGUGUGACACAUGCCACGAUGUUUUCUUACCUGUUGGAGUCUGACAUAAGCACCUGACACCCAGAGCACACUGGCAUUCCUCCCUGCCUGGCU